CCUACGGGAGGCAGCAGUGAGGAAUAUUGGUCAAUGGGCGCGAGCCUGAACCAGCCAUGUAGCGUGAAGGAUGACUGCCCUACGGUUUGUAAACUUCUUUUAUAAAGGAAUAAAGUGAGGCGCGUGUGCCUUUUUGUAUGUACUUUAUGAAUAAGGAUAGGCUAACUCCGUGCCAGCAGCCGCGGUAAUACGGAGGAUCCGAGCGUUAUCCGGAUUUAUUGGGUUUAAAGGGAGCGUAGAUGGGUUGUUAAGUCAGUUGUGAAAGUGUGCGGCUCAACCGUAAAAUUGCAAUUGAUACUGGCAGGCUAGAGUACUGUUGAGGGAGGCGGAAUUCGUGGUGUAGCGGUGAAAUGCUUAGAUAUCACGAAGAAUUCCGAUUGCGAAGGCAGCUUACUAAACAGCCACUGACAUUGAUGCGCGAAAGUGUGGGGAGCAAACAGGAUUAGAUACCCCAGUAGUC
rnacentral:rRNA from 1 species